rnacentral:rRNA from 1 species
GCAAGUCGAACGGUAACAGAGCUAGCUUGCUAGUUGCUGACGAGUGGCGGACGGGUGAGUAACGCGUAGGAAUCUACCCAGUUGCGGGGGAUAGCCCAGGGAAACUUGGAUUAAUACCGCAUACGCCCUACGGGGGAAAGUGGAGGAUCUUCGGGCCUCUCGCAAUUGGAUGAGCCUGCGUAAGAUUAGCUAGUAGGUGGGGUAAAGGCCUACCAAGGCGACGAUCUUUAGCUGGUCUGAGAGGAUGAUC